UCCGAUAUCGUCUAGUGGUCGGGAUACCUGGUUUCCUAAGCAGGAGACCCAGGUUCGAUUCCUGUUAUGGAAG